rnacentral:lncRNA from 1 species
CACCACCUGAGUGUUGGGGACUUUUUCUUUCUUGGCCCUCCCACCUCCCACCGUUUUUCUGUUUUGUGUCACUUUCAUUUGGUUAAUAAUAUUCUAACAAGAUUUGUCAUUAUAGUUAUCUUAGUUUGAUGAGAUUUUUCUUCAUGAAAUUGAACAAAAAUAUCAGUCUUUGUUAAUUCUUUAUUAUUUAUUGUUUCGGAUGACACAGCAGGAAGGGAAAUAGGAAAGGCUCUACAUCAUUUGUCGUAUGUGCUCCACAAUUUGCCCUCAAGUUUGAAUCCUAGGUCCUACCACCCACACAAAACUGCCAUUGCCAGCCUGCUCAAUUCUACCCAAUCUCUAGCCAUUUUCAUACUGCAAAGUUCCUAUGACCUCCUCCCAAGGAGCUCAAUUCUGUACUUUACCUCUUCCUGACCUCCCUGGAAUCCACCCCGCCUCCAACCACACUGUAAUUAGAAUCUGAAUUCUGCAACUACCUUGAUGUUAGUCUCUGUAGGGGAGCAGCCUGCAGCCUCCUAUGGACUCCCAUUAAGACAGGAUAUUCCUUCCGUCUAGGGGGUGCUGAUUGCAACUUUUUUGCUAAGAUGAAAAGCUGGAGUCGAAAUGAGAAGAGAGGAGUUGUGGCAGGUAUUUUGUUUUGCAAUGGCUCCAGACUGCUCUUCCGUUUGAUAAAGUGGCUGU